GCUUCGGUAGCUCAACGGUAGAGCGUCAAACUCUUACAGUCCCUCUGACCGGGUAAGAGUUUGAAGGCUGUGGGUUCGAUUCCCAUGCGAGGCA